rnacentral:rRNA from 1 species
AACACAACAUCCUCUCCUCUGUCCGCCUGAGCCUUCUCUCUACUCUGUUCGUGUUCUACCUUACUAAACUCUCUCCGGUUGAGACCUACCCAAAGGUUACACGGAGGCCGGAGGGGUAAAAAACCCCUUAGAUGAGGUUACUCACUUAGUAUCGGUGGUUAUUUGUCCGUGGGUCACUUCUACAGUGUGAAACUACACUUUACGGACUCUAGUGUAAGUAGUGGUCCUUCCCAGUUCUACAAGGCGUAGUUUCCGCAGCCGUCACGAUGUUCUCAACUUCUUUCUUCUCCUAAACUACAACAAUGAUGAUAGACACUUCACAGUUUGGACGGCUUCUUCCGUCUUUUAUACAACAACUGCCCCUAAAAUUUUUCGAACUCCACCAUGGCUUGCCCUUCGUCAAGUACCUCAAUAAGUUCCAUAGUAGAAAAACUAUAUCUCCACUGUAAGGGUAACACAUGAUGUUUGAACUUGACCAUGGAAGACUUGACUUGAAACUUGUGAACGUCGAAGACUUGACUUAAAACUUCGUACGUGUGUUGAACUAAAGUUCGUAGCCCAACUGAACUCCGGAUUGUAGUCACUCCAGUCUCUGCUGUCAAGUACCGCCACCGACAGCUGUUGCCGGUCCUGCGGUCUUUUUUUGAUCGUGCAGAGAGAGGGAGCGCGCUCACAACUUAGUCAGCACACUUUGGAAACACACUGUAAAGUUACGCGUUAUGCACGAACCCACAGCGGCGGUGAGGUACGGACGACGUUGUAGUCGGGAGGGUAAAUACGUCACAGGGGUGGUGGCCCCGCCAUCGGGCACGUCGGUGGAGUUCGUAGGAGGCGAUGGGUACGGUACAGGGGACACACUGCGCCCUAGACGGAGUAGCCCGCUCCUUUGGUCUUGGAGCCGGCGGUAGAAUGUGCGCAGCCGUACGUGGAGUCAUACGCCACUCUUACUACGUAAAGGGUUACCCUGUAGAAAGAAGUCUUUUGAAAUACAAGAAUGUUCCUAUUAAAUGUUCUAGCACCAUAACAGCAUUGUCGAUGACCACUGUAUCAAAAGUCAUCGGUACCGCUGUAGUGCACUAGGAAUACUCGUCUUGGUAGUACUGUUUUGUUUGACCAGUUAUCUUAAGUAUUUCAACGUCAAAUAAACGAGAUAAGUUAUUACGAAAAUCAAAGUUACUUUUAACAAUUGACCUGAGGGUACUAACGCCACCAGAUAAUAAGACCUUUUUCAUCAAAAUAGCGGAAAAUUACAAAAGUAAGUGUAGCUACCAGUAUAUACGACAGACCGUUCUACGCUCAAUAGUUGGUGAAUCAAGAAUAUAAAGAAAGGUAGUGUCUAAACCUGUUAAUUAAUCGAAAGCAACGUAGUACGAAGACCUAUAUUACUUAUUUUACUACAUGGCCAACCUAAUGAAGAAGUAGUUGGAUACAAGGUGAGUUGUAAGUAGAAAACCUAAUGAAGAAGUGGUUGAAUACGAGGUGAAAUGUAAAUAUAGUACCUUUUUAUCAACAGAAAUCACUGGAACAUAUAUCAACAAAAUCGUCCGUACCCACAAACGUAAAAGAGAAAAGAUGGGCAACGUUGCGUACCCGGGAAAACGAUCAAUUUAGUAUUUCCUUCGUCGCUAUACGGAGUAUGAACGUAUAUCAUCAUAAUGACAAGUUAUGCCUUCGAACGUUGGCGUUAUGACUUUCUAUAUGUCGAAACACGAGGGUAGGGUUACACUUGGUUGUCUAGGCUAUUACUCUAGUAUACCAUCAUGCUGGGUAUUACUUAAAGGCGAAUAAUUAUUCUAAAAGUUUCUUAUAUCGCUUACCUCGAGAUUGAGUAUAUCAUAUGAGGGAGAUAGAGUAUUACAUUUUGCAAAAAAGUGUGAUUACAUCACAGUUUUUUUCAGAAUAUAAUACCCUACCUCCCUCAUCAUCAAAACAUAAACGUCUAAUUUAAAUAGUAAAGGAGACGAACCGACACUCUUGUUCCCUUCAGCGUAGUGUUUUAAGAGUACAACUCCUCGACAUCUUUGUUGACAUACAAUCCUCGUUAAAUGACGAUUUUUGUGCAAGGACUACGAUCUAGAACUUACAAAGUUCAUGUGUACUAGACAAACAAAGACAUUGUUCGUUACGAUGAUCCUCAAAUGAACCUAAUAACGUACUACAUAAUCAUUAAACGAGAAAUUUCAAAAAAAGAAAGGUUAACACGGUACAGUACAAUCAUUUUAUAAAAAAGUCUGAAGACUUAGUAUGAUUCUUCGUCGUUAUACACAAAGAAACGAUCCACGAGGAUUAAUCGGAAACGAAGGAAAUAAAUAAAUAAAGUCCGAAAUCACAAUGAAACAACGUACGUAUACGAACGACUAGAAAAAAUUCGUAAAAGAAGCCGAAACGACCGCGUAACUACGUGUCCUAAUGUCUUUGAAAGUCUUGAAUGUAUUUAUAUUUAACGUCUCAAAGGCGUAAAACCUUAUCUGUGAGUAUUGUAUUUAAUUUUAAUUAAUCCUUGAAACUCUGGUAACAUUUCUCCUCUUACUUUACGUCUGUUGGUAGAAAACCAAGUCAGUCCAUCCUGUAAUGGAAAAUAGCUUCGUCUCUUCCCCCGUUAGCAUACUUAGUAUUGAUUCGGUUAUUCCCCGUGGGAGUACGGGAUGGGUAUGGGCGGUUAUGGGAUGGGUGAUUGCCCGUAAAGUGCCCGCGCCGCCGUGGCGCGGAAACGGGUCGAUCAGAUAAAAUUAUAACUGUUUGUUUCAAAACACCACGACCUAUUUGGGUCAUUAAGUACAACCGAACGAACCCACCAGUAUGAUCUACCACUAAGACCACGUAUGUUUAUACAUCAAAACACUAUAUAGAUAUCGUAUACGAGAUGUCAACUCCUUUACUCAACUACAAAGAGACCUUGACUUCCUUGUUAUGUUAGAUUUAAUCCACCAUGACUUACAAACGUUCCUUCAGAGGCUCACUCAUAUAUCGGGAUGAUAAAACGUAAAUUCUACGGUAGAAAUGUAUUUUAAUCAAGUCACACUAAAUGUCGAAUAAAAUCGUCUCUGUUACGAGACUUAACGAGUGACCUACUGAGUAUGAGAGAGGUAAGGAUUUAUAUUCAGAAAAAAAUCUCUAAAAUUAUAUCUGAUGUAUGUCUACAUAUUAUCUGCAUCAAAUCUCACAUCUAAGUGAGUAAAACGAGGCAUACAUCAGGUAUAACUUAAGAAGAUGAGGAGAAGGAAUAGUCCUGUGCACCAUCACUCUCCUACCAACUCUUCAAAACAUCCAACCUAGGGAUUUACUUAAUUAACACUUGUAAACGAUUUUGUUAAAUCACGUUUGGUAUUUACCUCGACAUUUCUAAAUGAUUUAACAACACGAAAUACGAUAUAAUGGACCUGGAAGGACAACGUAUCAAAUCUACCGUAAACAUGUGGUUGCAAAAUGAUAAAUCCUCGUAACACGUCUUAGUUUCGACAAAUCCCGUAAUGGUUUCUGGACUAAAGUUUGUUGGUGCACUGUGUACAUGAUUCGAUAGGUUUGAUAAGUUUUUUUUUUGUGGACUACAGUUGUUCUUACUAGAAAAUAGACAAGUUAAAAAGAAGUCACGUAUACGUCGUAUGUACAACUUAAAAACCCCCAACCAACCUUCUUUCUUUGAUACCAAAAUACCCUAGUACUACAAUUACCCCUACAGAGUGCCAAAAGCAAAAUAAUCUACACUCCAAUGUUCAUAAGACGUAAAUCAUCUUUUGUUAAGUACAGUUUGUACGUUUUCUCGAGGUAGUAGUUGGCCGUCUUUUGUUUGUCACGGCGUUUCGCAGGGAAACGAAGAUUCAAAGGUGAUAUCAAGUUACGAAUGUACGGUAACAUAGAGACAGCAACUACAGGUUGCCAACUCGGGCGUAUACAUAAUGUUCUAAUUUCCCAUACUAAGGACAAGGUAAAUUAUAGAUGAGGUACCUACUUCGAUACCGUCUUUUGAGAUCAGGAUAACUUCGAUUACGUCUAGUUGGCACGGGCAACUCUUAGUAUCGGUUCUGCAACCGUCCCUAACUUAACCUACCCAGGUAUUCUAACGUCGAUGUCCUCUACGUCCCGGCCACAGAAGAGGCAGGUGCAGAUCCUUGAACUUACUAAAGAAGGAGCAGCAGCCACUGGAGCCGAACGCGUAGUCGGAAGCGGUACCACCGGGCGUGAGGGGCUUGCCACAGCCCGUCGAAGAGGAGAUCGUGGCCCCUCUUCUACCCUAGUCCCAUUACAUGCCUACCGAACUUUCGGUUCUAAUCGAGGUUGAGCAGCAGACCGUCGGCUUUUCAGAAGAAGAAGCAGAAAAAGAAAUAGUGGAGGAAGACGACGUGGCGCGACCGACGUAGUAGCAGUUAAUGCCGGCAUAGUCGAUAGUAGCGGAAGGCGACGAGGAGCCUACUUUAACUCGAGCUGUAGCUAGUUUUGCAACAUUAUCG